rnacentral:rRNA from 1 species
UACGUAGGGUGCGAGCGUUGUCCGGAAUUAUUGGGGCGUAAAGAGCUUGUAGGCGGUUUGUCGCGUCUGCUGUGAAAAUCCGGGGCUCAACCCCGGACUUGCAGUGGGUACGGGCAGACUAGAGUGUGGUAGGGGGAGACUGGAAUUCCUGGUGUAGCGGUGAAAUGCGCAGAUAUCAGGAGGAACACCGAUGGCGAAGGCAGGUCUCUGGGCCACUACUGACGCUGAGAAGCGAAAGCAUGGGGAGCGAACAGG